rnacentral:rRNA from 1 species
UNUGAAGUUAAAGGCAGUGGCUCAACCNUUGUAGGCUUUGGAAACUGUUUAACUNGAGUGCAGAAGGGGAGAGUGGAAUUCCAUGUGUAGCGGUGAAAUGCGUAGAUAUAUGGAGGAACACCGGUGGCGAAAGCGGCUCUCUGGUCUGUAACUGACGCUGAGGCUCGAAAGCGUGGGGAGCGAACAGGAUUAGAUACCCUGGUAGUCCACGCCGUAAACGAUGAGUGCUAGGUGUUAGGUCCUUUCCGGGACUUAGUGCCGCAGCUAACGCAUUAAGCACUCCGCCUGGGGAGUACGACCGCAAGGUUGAAACUCAAAGGAAUUGACGGGGGCCCGCACAAGCGGUGGAGCAUGUGGUUUAAUUCGAAGCAACGCGAAGAACCUUACCAGGUCUUGACAUCCCGAUGCCCGCUCUAGAGAUAGAGCUUUACUUCGGUACAUCGGUGACAGGUGGUGCAUGGUUGUCGUCAGCUCGUGUCGUGAGAUGUUGGGUUAAGUCCCGCAACGAGCGCAACCCUUAUUGUUAGUUGCCAUCAUUCAGUUGGGCACUCUAGCGAGACUGCCGGUAAUAAACCGGAGGAAGGUGGGGAUGACGUCAAAUCAUCAUGCCCCUUAUGACCUGGGCUACACACGUGCUACAAUGGCUGGUACAACGAGUCGCAAGCCGGUGACGGCAAGCUAAUCUCUGAAAGCCAGUCUCAGUUCGGAUUGUAGGCUGCAACUCGCCUACAUGAAGUCGGAAUCGCUAGUAAUCGCGGAUCAGCACGCCGCGGUGAAUACGUUCCCGGGCCUUGUACACACCGCCCGUCACACCACGAGAGUUUGUAACACCCGAAGUCGGUGAGGUAACCGUAAGGAGCCAGCCG